AGGACGAACGCUGGCGGCGUGCUUAACACAUGCAAGUCGAGCGGAAAGGCCCUUCGGGGUACUCGAGCGGCGAACGGGUGAGUAACACGUGAGCAACCUGCCCUUAGCUCUGGGAUAGCUCCGGGAAACCGGAAUUAAUACCGGAUACGACCUAGGCCGACAUCGGCCAUGGUGGAAAGUUUUUCGGCUAGGGAUGGACUCGCGGCCUAUCAGCUAGUUGGUGGGGUAAAGGCCUACCAAGGCGACGACGGGUAGCCGGCCCGAGAGGGCGACCGGCCACACUGGGACUGAGACACGGUCCAGACUCCUACGGGAGGCAGCAGUGGGGAAUAUUGGACAAUGGGGGCAACCCUGAUCCAGCCAUGCCGCGUGAGUGAUGAAGGCCUUCGGGUUGUAAAGCUCUUUUGGCGGGGACGAUAAUGACGGUACCCGCAGAAUAAGCCCCGGCUAACUUCGUGCCAGCAGCCGC
rnacentral:rRNA from 1 species